GACGAACGCUGGCGGCGUGCCUAAUACAUGCAAGUCGAACGCUGAAGGAGGAGCUUACUUCUCUGGAUGAGUUGCGAACGGGUGAGUAACGCGUAGGUAACCUGCCUGGUAGCGGGGGAUAACUAUUGGAAACGAUAGCUAAUACCGCAUAAGAGUAGAUGUUGCAUGACAUUUGCUUAAAAGGUGCAAUUGCAUCACUACCAGAUGACCUGCGUUGUAUUAGCUAGUUGGUGGGGUAACGGCUUACCAAGGCGACGAUACAUAGCCGACCUGAGAGGGUGAUCGGCCACACUGGGACUGAGACACGGCCCAGACUCCUACGGGAGGCAGCAGUAGGGAAUCUUCGGCAAUGGACGGAAGUCUGACCGAGCAACGCCGCGUGAGUGAAGAAGGGUUUCGGAUCGUAAAGCUCUGUUGUAAGAGAAGAACGAGUGUGAGAGUGGAAAGUUCACACUGUGACGGUAGCUUACCAGAAAGGGACGGCUAACUACGUG
rnacentral:rRNA from 1 species